GUAGCCUAGUGGUUAGAGUGGAGGGGCGGCAGGUAGCCUAGUGGUUAGAGUGGAGGGGCGGCAGGUAGCCUAGUGGUUAGAGUGGAGGGGCGGCAGGUAGCCUAGUGGUUAGAGUGGAGGGGCGGCAGGUAGCCUAGUGGUUAGAGUGUAGGGGCGGCAGGUAGCCUAGUGGUUAGAGUGUAGUGGCGGCAGGUAGCCGAGUGGUUAGAGUGUAGUGGCGGCAGGUAGCCUAGUGGUUAGAGUGUAGGGGCGGCAGGUAGCCUAGUGGUUCGAGUGGAGGGGAGGCAGGUAGCCUAGUGGUUAGAGUGGAGGGGCGGCAGGUAGCCGAGUGGUUAGAGUGGAGGGGGGGCAGGUAGCCUAGUGGUUAGAGUGGAGGGGCGGCAGGUAGCCUAGUGGUUAGAGUGGAGGGGCGGCAGGUAGCCUAGGGGUUAGAGUGGAGGGGAGGCAGGUAGCCUAGUGGUUAGAGUGGAGGGGCAGCAGGUAGCCUAGUGGUUAGAGUGGAG
rnacentral:lncRNA from 1 species